UAAAUUUUUUGUAAAGCUGGAAUGACAUCCUCUCUGAAAGAAAGCUUGAAACAACGCGAUUCAAGAAUGGAUCGCACUGCUGACAAAAAGAAACACAUUUAAAAAAAAAAAAAAAAAAAAAAAAAAAAAACAUCACGACAAAUCAAAGCCGAAAAAGGGACUUUUUAAUUGGUAUUAGAAGAACAGCGGGAUAACCUUGUCAACUUCCCUGGCCUCAUCCUGGCAACACUUCUCCGGAUCCCGUGAGUUACAAUCAUGCUCAUAUAAAUAACGCUGACAUCAGUCGCGCACAUGAAAGGCGGACUCGCCAAUGAAUUGCCGAAACAGUAAAGAGCACUGUAUCCAUCUUCAUUUGCAAUAAUAGUUCUGGACUUGAGUUGGGCAGAAGCAUUAGGGUAACAUAUAUCACAGAAAAUUUGUAGACAGGGAUCAGGGAGGAAAAAAAAAAAAAACCUUCAAGAUCCCCAGCCUUUAAGUGGGGCAGCUGCUAACUCCUCCCCAUUCCCCUUCUCUUCUUGAGGAAGAUUUAGUGGCCCGGAGCUAAAAGCUCUUUCACCCCGACUGUGACCUACUUUAAGUGAAGCAUUUAUAAACGAUCAUACACUUUGUGCUCUGGAGUCUAACUGUCCUGCAUGAAGCAGAGGAGUAAACCAACUUCUUAAAUCACACCCACAGAUUAUAGCUACUGAUUUAUAAGUAGCGUCUGAAUCUAGCAACUGCAGUCAAGCACUGUUAGUAACUACCGUGCCGUUCACUUUCUCAGACGCACCGAAAACAACAGCAACAGGCCUCUUUGAAAUAGUUUUUUUGGCCAAACUAUACCUAAUGCAUAACAAAACAGACAGCUGGAUUCCAAUAAAGACACAUUUAAAAAACUGCAUGCAUGUACAGUAGAGGCGAUGAAAACGAGGAGAAGUGUGCAUGCUGAGCAGUUGGAUGAGACAGCCCGGACUUGACCUCAGGGGACUCGGCUCCAGUCUUCCUGAGUCCAUGAGCAGCAGGAGCCUGUAGAUAUCGAGGCCUAACCUGCCAUUGCUCAGCGUUAAGGAAGACCAGGCUGAUCUGUCAAAAUGUGAUGGAAUGAGCGUCUCCUCGUAGCAUGACAGCGCCCCAGAGUACAGUGGAGAGUCUAAUUCCAUGCAGAUUGAAGACCUUGUUUGUUGUGUUAAGCACCAGGGUCACUGGGUAUGAACCGGCAUGAUGUGCUGCAGCUCUCGACAAGGAUGAUCUUACCAAAGGCAGGCUGACUGUAAAGCUCCGUUAGCUCUUUCAUUGAAUCUGAUAAUUAUCUGUAUUAUCUUGGUGGCAACUCAGUAGAUGUUAAAUAGGUUACAUUGCAUGCAACUAUUUAACUGCUGAUAUCUUUAAAGUGGGUGCACAUUCAUGCUGAAUUAAUGCCAUUCAUGCAGAAAUGUUCCUACAGAAAUAUAUUUUAGUUACUCCCACUUAUUAUAAAAUCUUGGCAGCUAACAUAACAGCAAAGUGAAAACCUUUAAAGGACCUGAGAGGAAAAUUACACUAUGUAUGGCUUCGUACAGUAUAGGUUUGGAGAAAAUUGUGUUGUGUUUUGUGUUUUAAAUCUACUUAUGCUUCUAUCAAACUUGUGCAGAGAAAGAGAGAGAAAGAGAGAGAGAGAGAGAAAGAGAGAGAAAGAGAGAGAAAGAGAUUCAGAUACAGGGGAAACUAAUUCCAAUUCCAGUAUUGAAGCAACACCACUCAGAAUGACUGUGAACAUCAUACAACAGGAACAGUAAAGAGGAAUAAAACAGCCAUCUAAAGCUGCUGCCUUUUUAACUUAUUCUGAUUCAUGUAACAAAAAACAACAUAGCAAUACAUUUCAGAAUAAACACACCACUAAACUGUUUCUGAU